GGAGCAACAUCUGUGCGUGAAGCGGGUCAGGGGAGGAAUCCAGCAGCCCUAAGCGAUUUCAGGUGUGUGCUCU
rnacentral:SRP_RNA from 2 species